GCGAAUACCGGAGAAUGUUAUCACGGGAGACACACGGCGGGUGCUAACGUCCGUCGUGAAGAGGGAAACAACCCAGACCGCCAGCUAAGGUCCCAAAGUCAUGGUUAAGUGGGAAACGAUGUGGGAAGGCCCAGACAGCCAGGAUGUUGGCUUAGAAGCAGCCAUCAUUUAAAGAAAGCGUAAUAGCUCACUGGUCGAGUCGGCCUGCGCGGAAGAUGUAACGGGGCUAAACCAUGCACCGAAGCUGCGGCAGCGACACUGUGUGUUGUUGGGUAGGGGAGCGUUCUGUAAGCCUGUGAAGGUGGCCUGUGAGGGUUGCUGGAGGUAUCAGAAGUGCGAAUGCUGACAUAAGUAACGAUAAAGCGGGUGAAAAGCCCGCUCGCCGGAAGACCAAGGGUUCCUGUCCAACGUUAAUCGGGGCAGGGUGAGUCGACCCCUAAGGCGAGGCCGAAAGGCGUAGUCGAUGGGAAACGGGUUAAUAUUCCCGUACUUGGUGUUACUGCGAAGGGGGGACGGAGAAGGCUAUGUUGGCCGGGCGACGGUUGUCCCGGUUUAAGCGUGUAGGUGUGUGUUCCAGGUAAAUCCGGUUCACUUUAACACUGAGGCGUGACGACGAGGCACUACGGUGCUGAAGCAACAAAUGCCCUGCUUCCAGGAAAAGCCUCUAAGCAUCAGGUAACAUCAAAUCGUACCCCAAACCGACACAGGUGGUCAGGUAGAGAAUACCAAGGCGCUUGAGAGAACUCGGGUGAAGGAACUAGGCAAAAUGGUGCCGUAACUUCGGGAGAAGGCACGCUGACACGUAGGUGAAGUGAUUUACUCACGGAGCUGAAGUCAGUCGAAGAUACCAGCUGGCUGCAACUGUUUAUUAAAAACACAGCACUGUGCAAACACGAAAGUGGACGUAUACGGUGUGACGCCUGCCCGGUGCCGGAAGGUUAAUUGAUGGGGUCAGCGCAAGCGAAGCUCCUGAUCGAAGCCCCGGUAAACGGCGGCCGUAACUAUAACGGUCCUAAGGUAGCGAAAUUCCUUGUCGGGUAAGUUCCGACCUGCACGAAUGGCGUAAUGAUGGCCAGGCUGUCUCCACCCGAGACUCAGUGAAAUUGAACUCGCUGUGAAGAUGCAGUGUACCCGCGGCAAGACGGAAAGACCCCGUGAACCUUUACUAUAGCUUGACACUGAACAUUGAGCCUUGAUGUGUAGGAUAGGUGGGAGGCUUUGAAGCGUGGACGCCAGUCUGCGUGGAGCCGACCUUGAAAUACCACCCUUUAAUGUUUGAUGUUCUAACGUGGACCCGUGAUCCGGGUUGCGGACAGUGUCUGGUGGGUAGUUUGACUGGGGCGGUCUCCUCCUAAAGAGUAACGGAGGAGCACGAAGGUUGGCUAAUCCUGGUCGGACAUCAGGAGGUUAGUGCAAUGGCAUAAGCCAGCUUGACUGCGAGCGUGACGGCGCGAGCAGGUGCGAAAGCAGGUCAUAGUGAUCCGGUGGUUCUGAAUGGAAGGGCCAUCGCUCAACGGAUAAAAGGUACUCCGGGGAUAACAGGCUGAUACCGCCCAAGAGUUCAUAUCGACGGCGGUGUUUGGCACCUCGAUGUCGGCUCAUCACAUCCUGGGGCUGAAGUAGGUCCCAAGGGUAUGGCUGUUCGCCAUUUAAAGUGGUACGCGAGCUGGGUUUAGAACGUCGUGAGACAGUUCGGUCCCUAUCUGCCGUGGGCGCUGGAGAACUGAGGGGGGCUGCUCCUAGUACGAGAGGACCGGAGUGGACGCAUCACUGGUGUUCGGGUUGUCAUGCCAAUGGCACUGCCCGGUAGCUAAAUGCGGAAGAGAUAAGUGCUGAAAGCAUCUAAGCACGAAACUUGCCCCGAG
rnacentral:rRNA from 1 species